rnacentral:tRNA from 1 species
GUAAAUAUAGUUUAACAAAAACAUUAGACUGUGAAUCUAAAAAUAGAAAGUGAUAAUUCUUAUUUACC